GUGUAUGUAUCGCUAAAGAUGUUCAAGUGGUGUCUGGGUUUGGAGGGCGUGCUCGUAACCCUGUGAAAGACACUUGUUGUCAUGUGUGUCAAUGUUUGUGUCUGUCAACUCUAUGUACCUUGUGUGUCAUGGAUUAUUUGGUCGGUUGUUUGUUGGUGACAUGAAUCUCUCUCUCUCUCUCUCUCUCUCUCUCUCUCUCUCUCUCUCUCUCUCUUCGAUUACAUUCUUGUGGAACUACACCAGAGUGUGACGUGUGUGUGUCUGCCUUGUGCUCUAAAGUGUUACUAUUGGCUGGUAUACCGAGAGUGCAGUAAAUCACCAUUUUCAUUGCUAGUUGUUGCAUCCGUUUCGAACUCAUCUAGGAUGACACCAAGCUCAGCAAUGAGAUCGACUACAGUCAACUCGGGCAUCCUCUUUGCAUAUCCCAGACGGAUGACCUCCAUCCUCAUGCAUGAGUUGCACAUUACACACUUGGGUAGCUCCUCAACUGAAGUUCCUCUUCUAACCGGGUUAUUUCUCAGAGACAACUCUGAGUUUCCGUUUCGAAAAGAAAAAACUAUAAGUUGCCACUGUGGACUUUAAUUACCUCUGGUAUGAUAAUCUAGGGCAUUGUGGACGAGGGUUUCCAACACCUGCAGUCGGUGGAGCAGGAGGGCUUCCUCGCCGAGGUCGUCAACCUCUUCCUCCACGACGCCGACACAACAUCCUCAACGAAGUUGCCUUCCGAUUGUUCGUACCGCCGCCCCUACGCCCUCCCUCCCCCUCUGCUCUUGUUAUCUCGUGUUGGGUAUUGAUUUCGUGUGCUUUGCUUAACUUGUGAUUCGCAGGAACCAGCCCCUGGUGAACUCCGACGGGGUGGGUGUUGGGGAACGUAGUAAUUUCAAAAUUUUCCUACGCACACGCAAGAUCAUGGUGAUGCAUAGCAACGAGGGGAGAGUGUGAUCUACGUACCUUGUAGAUCGACAACGGAAGCGUUUGGUUGAUGUAGUCGUACGUUUCCACGGCCCGACCGAUCAAGCACCGAAACUACGGCACCUCCGAGUUUUAGCACACGUUCAGCUCGAUGACGAUCCCCGGACUCCNNNNNNNNNNAAACCUUGUCUAUUGUGAAAACACACGCAAAUUUAACUGUGCCUUCUAAACUGUGACGGAGGGAGUAGUACAAGUUUUAACAAAAAAAAUACUUUUCGAAAUGUGUGAGGUAGAAUAACCACCUGCUCUACUCCCUCCAUCCGUUUAUUCAGGGCCUAAACCAAAGCCAGAACGUGGGAAUAACCAUCAUCAUCAAACUGCAAUAAGUAGUACUCAAGAUUUUCUAUAAAAGUGAUACUAUGUAAUAAGAAUACCAUUGCUGUUUUCCUUUUUUUAGCGGCAGAAUACCAUUGCUGUUUUGGAAACGACAACUGUACGUGUACUGGUGCUUCGCUGUAGAGAGCGUGCAACAGCUAGCUCAUGAAUGCACGCGGUAUCAAUCCAUCCAGCACUAGCAGUAGCUGCAUGCAUGCAUGCAUGCACGCAGGCCGUCGCGAAGCUCGUUAAUGGCUGCCAAAACGCCUCCGCGUGAGAGAAAUGGACUCGUGAGUCCGCUAUAUAACCUGCACUUCUCUCCCCUCUCCUCGUCCACUCCGCCGGCCCUACCCCCGGAUCGCCCCCCUCCGCUCACGCCCUCUUGCACCGCCGGACUCCCGGACCUCCUUGCCAUGGCGGCCGGCGCGCUCAGGGCUCAGCUCAACGCCCUCGUCGACUCCAUGUUCACCACGGUGAGUCCCCUUCCCUUACAUCCCAUCUAAUCGCCGUGUGCUUGCUUGUGAUCUGGAAUCACUGGGCCGGAUUGCCUGAUCUUUCCUCUUGUGUGAUCAUCUAGGGUAUUGUGGACGAGGCUUUCCAACACCUGCGGUCGGUGGAGCAGGAGGGCUUCCUCGCCGAGGUCGUCAACCUCUUCAUCCACGACGCCGACAACAUCCUCAACGAAGUCGCCCACCUGCUGUCCGUACCGCCGCCCCUACGCCCUCCCUCCCCCUCUGCUAGCUCUUGUUAUCUCGUGUUGGGUGGUAUUGAUUUCAUCUGCUCUCUCUGCUUAACUUGUGAUUCGCAGGAACCAGCCCGUGGUGAACUUCAGCAGGGUGGGCGCACUGGUGCAUCAGCUAAAGGGGUGCAGCGGCAGGUGAUGACCAUGAUAAACCAUUUAUUUCCCCGGCCCAUUUUUAACUCUCGACGCCGUGCAAUUCAGAUGUGUUUGUCAUCGGCAUGCAGUUUUUGUGUCGUUUGCGUUGUCGUAUAUAGUCGUAAGUAGAAGAGCCGAAUUUAGUUGUGUUCCGUGCAACGGAAGUGCCGGUACCCAUGCGAACGGCAAUGUUAUGGGUCGGCGAGGAUAAGUCCGUCGUCUUGCGAACGUUUCUAGUAUAUAUUAUAUUAAUGAUAUGAUAUAUAUUCAGCGGUGACAACGAUCGCGGUUUUUCUCGAAUGUCAGCGGUAUCGAUGUUGCUUCUCUUCAGGUGUGCCGGUACAUUGGGCAUGUUAUUCAUGUUGUUUGCGCCUGUUGUGUAACCAUAUUUGGAAGAGUUGGGUUUAGUUGUGUUUUCUGUAACAGAAUUGCCGGUAUUACUGCCAGUGUCAAUGCUCUAGCUCGGCAAGGAAAAAACUAUCGUUUUGCGAAUUUUUCGGGUAUUAAUGUACGUGAUGCCGACCGUGGGUUUUUUGGUUAGUCCACGACAUCAAUGUUUUUUUUUCUGUUUAGAUGUGAUGGCGCAGACACGGAUCGUGUCGUGUGUGGCUGUCUUAUAACCAUAUGUAGAAGGGCUGAAUUUAGUUGUGUUUUGCAUAACAGAGUUGUCUGUAUUCAUGCCAAUGGAAAUGUUAUAGCUCAGCCAAGAAAACUUUGCCGUUUUGCAAACAAAUUUAGUAUUGUUGAAUCUGCAUUUCAACCAAUGGCAUUAUUCUAGGUUAGGAAUGAGAAAUUUGUCGUUCCGCAAGCAUUUCUAGUAUUGAUUAUAUGCUAUUCUAUAUGAUGCCAUUGUUCAUUUUCUGGCUUCUGGACGUGUCGGCGCAGGGUGUAUACGUCAUGAGCAUGUGACUUGUGUCAUUUGCACUGUCGUAUAGCCAUAACUAAAAGGUCCAACUUUAGUUGUCUUUCGUGCGUGCCAACGUUAUGACUCUGCAAGAAAAAAUUUGUUGGUUUGUAAAUAUUUCCAAUACUACUAAUCUGCUAUUGCACAUCAACCCAUUUUUUUCUAGUUUAUCGAACAAUCUAUUGUGUUGACAACCAUGAUAAGAAAUGACACCUUGUGGAUACUAUUGUGACAUCGGAAGUAUGCUUAUGUGUAUCAACGUGCUGCAGCAUUUAAUAAGUUUGAGAAAUUUCUAGUUCCCUGAUUGGUGCUUCUUGGUAUGUUUUCAGUGUUGGUGCUAAGAAAGUGAAUCUCUCCUGCACCCACUUUCGUCAGUCUUAUGAGGCAGAAAGUAAAGAAGGGUUAGUACUCAGUGUCUUAUUAUAUUUGUUGCACAGUAAUUAUUCUCCACUCUAUGUAUUUUUCACAUUUUGCAUAUAAACCUGUGAGUUGAAUAUUUAGCUCAAACCAACCUAGUAUUCUUUUCACUUGAUCUGCAAUCACAUGAUUGGUACAAUUUGGUUCAUUAUCUGAAUGUGCUAAUGUUUGAUGAUCCUUUUGUAACUUGUGGGCUUGACUUCUAUUUCUAGCACAACUGAGAUGGUAAAAGCUUUUAUUUUUCGAAUAUAGGAUCAAAAUUUCUGAACCGUUUCUGUUCAGUUCGCUUGAUCUCUCCAAAAUUUGAUAAUGUGUAUGUUUGCAUUAUUCCAGGUGCCUCAUGGCAUUGGACCUUGUUAGGAAUGAGUUUUAUGAUGUGCGCAACAAACUACAAACAAUGAUUCAGGUAGCACCUUAUGUGCCUAGCUAUGUUGGCUUUUGACUUCCGAUUUCUCACUAGUAUGAUAAUCCAGAGAUUGCUCAUAUAUCGUUUAGGAUCAAAAUGAAUAACCUGAAUCUUAUUCUUGUUCGGUGUUAAAAUUUAUCUAAAUAUACUUUUGGGUUUUCUAAAACACUUAAUAAGUCGAGGUGUUUGAAAUUAUCAUGCCUUAAUUUUGUCGUCUCUUUUAGUAGAUGUAUGGGGUAGCCCUACAAAGUGGAAUUUCUCUGUUUCCCAUCAUAACUUAACAAGUAUAAAGGAGUAAGAUGUGGACCAACUUGUAACUAAUUUGUGAAACCAUGUGACUUGAGCACCACAAUGCGUUGUAGACCGGUCGUACUCAUUAACCUAUUAUUCUUUUGAUGCAGCUGGAGCAGCAGAUCACGGCCAUGGGUCCUCAGUAGUAGCAACUGAAGCAAAAGGAUCAUGGCCCCAUAUGAUCCCUAGCAUGAUGGGGUGUAUGUAUCGCUAAAGAUGUUCAAGUGGUGUCUGGGUUUGGAGGGCGUGCUCGUAACCCUGUGAAAGACACUUGUUGUCAUGUGUGUCAAUGUUUGUGUCUGUCAACUCUAUGUACCUUGUGUGUCAUGGAUUAUUUGGUCGGUUGUUUGUUGGUGACAUGAAUCUCUCUCUCUCUCUCUCUCUCUCUCUCUCUCUCUCUCUCUCUCUCUCUCUUCGAUUACAUUCUUGUGGAACUACACCAGAGUGUGACGUGUGUGUGUCUGCCUUGUGCUCUAAAGUGUUACUAUUGGCUGGUAUACCGAGAGUGCAGUAAAUCACCAUUUUCAUUGCUGGUUGUUGCAUCCGUUUCGAACUCAUCUAGGAUGACACCAAGCUCAGCAAUGAGAUCGACUACAGUCAACUCGGGCAUCCUCUUUGCAUAUCCCAG
rnacentral:lncRNA from 1 species